CAAAAAUAGACAAAAACGCUUCAAAAAUGUGACGAAAAUGGCACAAAAAAAAGUUAUGAUCCCUUUUGUAAGUCUUAGCUUUCAAAUCAGGCGUUACUUUGUUGCUCUUCAGUAGAGAAGCUUUUUAGAUUUGGGUAAAGCCGAACUGGAGAUAAUGCGCUCGGUUCAGGUCGGGGGUAAGAGGUUACGUUUUGUUUUGUUUUUCCCAAAAAAUUUUGUCAAGACAAGGCCUGUUCCAAGUCUGUACACUAGAUGGCGGCAUUGCUCCACUCUUGCAGCCCCUCAGUACUACAGUCAUGGAACUAUUAGUCUAAAACGUUUACUGGCUGCUGAUUUCUGUUGAGAAUGAACAAUAAACAAUCAUAUCAAGCAACAGAGCAUCACAACUGUCUUUCAAAAGUGAUUUUCCCCCCCUCAUUAUUAUUUUCUUUUUUUCUUUUUUCGAGACCACGAUCGUGACGUCCAGCCGCACGGCAUUGUGGGAUUCACAGAUCCUCGGCUCCUCGAAAUCCUCUGUUAUUACGAGCUGAUGCAGCAGUUAUUAUGACACAGUCCUGUUGUGUGUUGGGCUGUCACAAAGAUCGACGGGGAAACUUCACUCCACCACUGAGGUUUUUCUCUUUUCCCUCCUGGAAGCAGAAGCAGGGAGCCUAUGUGUCUGACGUGACCAGGAGACGGCGCCUGGCCUGGGUCGCAGCUGUGAUUCUCCAGUAAAGUUUCAAAAGCAGAGAUGUAUGAAAACCAAGAGGGACGAGGAAAGGAUGGCCAAACAAAAGUUAGAAAAUAUGAUUUCAGGAGACAAUUUUGAUAUCACAGACCUGCAGGUGCAGCACGUUCAGCUCCUGAAGGCGUUCGGCGAGAUGCAAACGGAGGCUGCCAAACUGCGUGCCGAGAACGAGAAAUUUGAGGACGCCCUCCAAAGCGACUUCUCCAAGUUGUCCUACCGCUUCUUGAAAUGCGACGAGGAACAGCUGCAAUUUCUCACCGGACUCCACUCGGUCACGUUCGAUUGGCUCGUUCCGAAAAUCAGCCGCAUCAUCUUCAGAGUCCACCCCGAGGUGAAGCAGCAAGACCACCUCCUGAUUGUCCUGAUGAAGCUGAAACUCGGGCUGUGCGACGACGACUUGGGUUAUAGGUUCCAAAUACACGGAGGUAUUAUCACGGCCAUGUGUCAGACGUGGAUUCCCGCGCUGGCCGCCGUGCUGAGUCCGCUCGUCGCGUGGCCAAGCCAAGACGCCAUCGUCAAAACCAACCCAAGCAUCUUCACGGGGGGAGUGAGACAAUGCUGCUGUAUUGUAGACACUUUUGAGGUUACCAUAGCGACACCUAAUGCUACCACAAAAGUCGCCAGCUACCUCAUUGGCGCCACGCCGGCCGGGGCCAUUACGUUUGUGUCACUAGGGUCCUUCUCCAGGAAAAAGUCAGACAGGCAGUUGAUAAGGGAGUCAGGAUUUGUGGAUUUGUUGAAACCGAAGGAUUUGCUUUGACGAACAAGACAUUACCUAUACAAAAAGAUCUCGAUGGUGAGGCAGUGUCGGGCUGGUAUGCGGUUGUGCGGGCGCCUACUUGUAAGUAAUCUCUCCACUUCUGUCAUAACGAAUUAUUGAUCCGUUGACUUAUUUGUUUGAACUGUCUGGGUUAGGUUGUUAUCUAGGGGGAAUGCGGCUCCCGUGAUGCGCCCUGAGCCCCUGUUGGAGCCGGGUUUCCGAGUGUGGAAGGUACAUUAUUUUGCUAAUGCGCAUUUCAGUGUUGAGUUUCCUGAGGCUAACUGGUGUUUUUGUCUAUGCAGUUAGCCGCUGCUGCUCAUUUGGUGCUCUCAUCUAGUGCGCUCAUCCAGUUCUCCACUAGUGUUCAAGUUUAGAAAAUUAGCUCUAAAUUUACCCGAUCAUGUCCGAAAGUUUUAAACCUACUUCUCACAAUGGGCCUGAUUGUGCUUUACGUAGCUGUUCUUAAUAUUGGUUGGGGGAAAGCUACUUUUACAUUGAGUGUAGCACUUUAGCCGAAGGUGGGGUUUGGCAGAGUUUGGUUUGUUUUUGGAUUGAUUUACUUAAGUUUGUUUUAGUUUAGUGUCAUCUGUCUAAACUACCUCCUUUGGUCAAGUUUUAUUGGUGUAUUUGUAUUAACCUCUUAAAGUUGUAUUGAGAAUGAGGAGUUGUCGUCACGGCACAGAGCCCCCUGCCGAUUCCCCCCUCGCUGCCAUUGUGAAUACCGUCCGGCGGCAAUACACAUCGUUUACGUGUGUUGUUAACGCGGUAGCGGAGGUUCUUGCUGUUCCGCACUGUACCAUGUGCGGAACAGCAAGAAUACCAUGCCUGGAAGUCACUGCUGCGUUAAAAACUGCUCCAAUACCUCACACGAUAGACAUGGAAAAUGUAGGAACAAUGUGACACAAUUUUUA
rnacentral:lncRNA from 1 species